AAGACGCGAGUCGAUCUCUGCGAUCAAUACUAGAAGUGUAUAAUUGAAGAAAAGUAGAAAACCUUUAAUUUGAUAAAUUUAAUACCAAGCAGCGUAUGGAGAAGCCGAGUGAAUGUUGUUGAGUCACAUUUCACUCCAGGCUUAUAGUGAAUCGUGUGGGUAUUCAUCGUUCACCAACGCCAUUGCUGGCCGACGCGUGCUUGGGUGAAAGCAAAAGACGCUAAAUAUAGAGGUAAAUGAUUAAUAUAGGAUUAAAAGUUCUUGUGAAAAAUUAAUAUUGAUAUGUUCUAUCGUUUAAUUGUACUAUUUCACUCUAAAUGAGUAUAAGUGUGGUCAUAGUGAACCGCGUGGUUAUUCCUCCAUUUCAGUUCACCGGCGCCAUUAUUGGUCACAUGCGCCUGUGUGAGGAAGACAGAUAGGAUUGUUCUAGAGGCCAGGUUUUUUUUUGUCCCUUUUUUUUUCUUUUCUUCUUCCUUGUAUUUCUAUUUUUUUUCCCUUGGUUCUGGAUUGUGAUCUUCUGCGAUAUCCUGUGAAAUUCACGUUUGAUGGCGAGCCACCCGAAUCUGCUACAGAAAGGAAAAGACUACAAUUCAUAAAGAAGAGGACAAUAUCCUUUCUUUCAUUCUCCAGUCUUGCUUUAAGUAAGACAAUUCCUAUUAGAGACUAUUGAAUACUUUUUUUUUGAGAUUGACAAAUACAGGGAUUGACAGGAAACUGAUCCAUGCUUUGAAUAGCAUUGAACACUCUUGAUGGUGUAUGGUUACCCAUAGCCAUAAGUUGAUUGAAAUUGAUAUGUGAUAUAUUUUGAGAAAGGUGUUCUAAAAGAGAAAAAAAGACACCACUCCUUUAUUAAAUAUUUUUGUUUAUUUUAUUUUAUUUCUUUUUUUUGACAUUUAAUUUACCAGUCUGUACAAUACUUUUCUGUUUUCUGGGGUAAAAGAAGAGUGCACUCUCGAAGGGAUUUUCAUGCUUGAGAUUUGUAUCAUUGCCUGAUAUUGUAUUUAACCUGAUUAUAAUUCUCACUGGAAAUCUAAUUACAUACCAGUUUGCAU